rnacentral:rRNA from 1 species
GACGAACGCUGGCGGCGUGCUUAACACAUGCAAGUCGAACGGAAAGGCCUCUUUCGGGGGGUACUCGAGUGGCGAACGGGUGAGUAACACGUGAGUAACCUGCCCUUGACUUUGGGAUAACAUCAGGAAACUGGGGCUAAUACCGGAUAGGAGCUCCUGCUGCAUGGUGGGGGUUGGAAAGUUUCGGCGGUUGGGGAUGGACUCGCGGCUUAUCAGCUUGUUGGUGGGGUAGUGGCUUACCAAGGCUUUGACGGGUAGCCGGCCUGAGAGGGUGACCGGCCACAUUGGGACUGAGAUACGGCCCAGACUCCUACGGGAGGCAGCAGUGGGGAAUAUUGCACAAUGGGUGGAAGCCUGAUGCAGCAACGCCGUGUGCGGGAUGACGGCCUUCGGGUUGUAAACCGCUUUCGCUCAUGACGAAGCUUUGUGUGACGGUAGUGGGUAAAGAAGCACCGGCUAACUACGUG